GGCUCCAUGGUCAAGUGGUUAAGACAUCGCCCUUUCACGGCGGUAACUCGGGUUCGAAUCCCGAUGGAGUCA
rnacentral:tRNA from 1 species